GCUAGUGCAGUGGUCAGCACACGUCCUCGGAAGGGGUGGGUCGCUGGUUCAACUCCCGCCAGAGGUCCA